GGUGGUGCUGGUGUGGGGGUAAGGGCUGGAGCGCUGGUGUAGGGGGCGGGUGACGGGGGUGGGCGACCCUGGUCUGUAGCAUCUGUGGACUCCCAUGGGGGUUUGGGGUGCGCAUCCUCUCAUUUUGGCCUAGUUUGGGCUACCAGUGUGGUUCCAUCGAAUGCAGGCUUGGGAAGAGGAGCCAGUGGGAGGCAGCUGCAGCUCCCCCAGGGCAGUGCAUUUCUGUGGCUUGUAGUAAAGGGCCUGAGAAUCCUCCCUGAACUGGUGGGGGAGUUGGUCUCAGGGCCAGGGUUCUGCCUUCCACCUCCUUGCUCUUUCUUCCCCACCCCCCUGCUCCCUCAAGGGAGGGGUGACAAGGCCAGGCAGGCGGUAGGAAUUCCAAGCACCAAGCUAAGAACCUGACAGUCAGGAUCCUCCUGGAAGGGGUGGAGAGGAGGGCAGCGGCAGCCCCUCCCUCCCUGGGAGCCCCUUCUUCCUGCUCCCUCCUCUCUUCCCAGGUGGCCUCACAAACAGGGCUGGGCAGUGGCGCCACUUGCUGAUCACAGGAGGGGCCAGGGGCCCAGAGGAGCUGGGAAGGUCCUCUCAGGACCCAGGUGUGUUCAAAGGAAUGGUACCUGGCCUUCGCUAGUCACUAAACCCUAUCUGCCUCUCACUCUGGGUCACAGUGCAGAGCCCAGAAGUGGCCGCACUCAUUUCACAGAUGUGAGCCAGGGAAGGGCAAAGGCUUUUGAUACCCGGGGAGUCAGGCAGGGUGGGAACCUGUGCCCAUGCCCCAUUCAGCCCACCACCACCUGCCGCUGCAGCCCAGAAACCGGGGGACACUGCACAGGCGACUCUGCAGUGACCCAAUUCUUCCCUGCCCUCCCAUCUAGAAGCCCUGUUGAGUUUUCCAUCAGGACAGUCUUGGAGUCACUUGCUUAGGAAGCUGGCCUGACAGCAGAGUGAAAGUUGCCGCCUAGCGUGAGGGGCUGCAGGGCUCCAGCUUGAACGUGGAAGUGCCCGCGCCCACAGGAGAACCGGCGGUGGGCUGGCCGGGGCUGGGUCCCUCGGGGUCGGGGACAAGCAUGGCUGUAGUGAAUGGGCAGGUGUUCCCUGACCAAGGGGCAGCAGCCACUACUGAGCUCCAGGCAGUGGCCUCACGUGACCAGAAACUGAUUUUUAAAGACAAGCCCAAAGUCCAAAAUUUUAAGUGAGAUCUGAUUUUUAAAUGCUGGCAACUAGUUACAAAAAUGUUUUUAAAAAUUACGUGGGUCAUACUAAACACAUCUUCAGGCCACCAUCUGCAGCCUCUGGCCUUGAGCCUAAAUGGAAAUCUCUCACCUAUAGGGGCUUCCCAGCCCCAACCUCCACUGCCAGUCUGAGCUGUGCCCACCCUGAGCCCGCUCCCUGCAGCCCCUUCCUAUGCUACCCUCGGCUGAGCGAUCCCUCUACUUCCAGACCCCAUGGCUUCCCCCCUCUGAAGGUCAUGCCAAGAGACUAGACUCCCCACCAUGUCCUUGCUGCAGUCGCCCACAAACCCACGAGUCCUCCUCCCCAGUCCUUGCAGAGGGCAGCCCUCACCCCAAACUGCUGCCAUCCUAUCUGUGCUGAUUUCAAGGCUCCCCCGAUCCUGGCCUCUCUGGUCCUAGUCCCCACCUCCUCUCCUCCAAAGAUUUCUCUCCCACCCUCCCAGCACUUGCUCCCAUGAACUCCCCCAAUAACCACAGUGAUUUUAGCUGCCCCCUUAUCUUCCCAGUCCACCUCCUCAGGUGCCCGCAGUCCUCUGAGCCUACAGGGACCUGUGUCCUGGGUACCUCCUCCCUCCCAUCCUCCGCCCACCACAGUUGUCACCCUCGUGCCCACCAGACUCCCGCACAGCUGCCACACAGCAGCAUUCAGUGCUCCCUAAUCCAGCUCCCACAAGGUGGCGGGAGAGAUGCUGCCGGGCUCACCCAAACUCCUGCUGCCAACCUCAAGAGGGAAGUUGGUGCUUUCCAGAAACCCCAGGGCCCCGUGCGGUGCCCUCCUGCUCCCCCUUUAUAAUGAGUAUAAAAAACAAGACAACACGGGUGCAUCCACCCACCUAGGGCAGCAGUGCCAGGAAGCACAUGCAGGAGGCCUUUCUGGGGAGCCAGGUACUCCGCUUAGCCCAGCCUGGUGUCUGAAGCUACAGGAUCUUUCAGAGCUGUUUCUUCAUUUGUAGAUAGGGACGAUGCCAUCCCUGGGAAUUCCAAGGAGAAAAAUCAUGGAAAGCUAGCACACCGGAGCUGCAGGGCACAGGGCACAGGGCACAGAGACUUUCCAGGGAGCACGCCCCCAUUCGGCCCUGGGUGUUUGCUGAUGCCCAAGCGGACCAAGAGUCCUGUUCAGGAUGCAGACGCCCACGUGGAAAGGAGUAUUUCCCAGAGCAGCCUCAAGAGGGCACCACCAUCACACCGGUUAUCCCAUUGGCGACCCCACCUACAAGCAAGCCCCCGCCUCACCUGUACCUGCGAAGUCUACACCAUGCACACCUCAGGGCUGUGUAGAUUCACAGAUUUGUUACAUCUGCAUCUCAGCUCCUCUACCAGACUGUGAGUUCCCGGCGGUAGGCUCAGUGUCCCCAGGGCUCCCAGCGGCCCCUGUGGCCCAAGCUGAAGGAACAAAGGUGCUUGGUGCUUUCUGGUUCUGCAAGGCCACUCUGCCAGGCCAGCCUCCGUGACCCACCCAUCUGCGCACUGAACUCAGGGAGGGGAGACCCCUGUCCCAGGCUCCGACUAGCACUUCCAUCAGAUGCACAGGUCUUUUGGUUUCUGCUUGCAGAGAGUCAGUUUCUCCUGAUGCUGUUCAUGUGGCUGAUGGCUCAGGGCAGGGGUCUACAGCUGCUGGGGCUGGGGCUAAGGUCCUGGCUGGGGAGGCCCCAAACACCACAAGGACGAAAACCAUCUGAGCCUAGAACCAUGCAGAGAGCCAAGCAUUCCAAAAAUAUUCUAUUCAAGUACCGUGCCUGUGAUUUUGACUUAUCAAAGGCUUCUGAUAAUAGACAAGCCCGCUCACGUGUUACCUAUGAAAUCGGAACACACGGAGACCGAGGCAGCUGUUCUAUGCAGCCUUAGAACGAAGGCGCUCUGACCACCGCUCAAGUGAAUGUGCUCUUCUGUCCUCUUCUCGGAGUUCCAGGCAAGCUGUUAAAACCUGUUCCCAGUUGCAACUACUUUUCUACACGAAUCAGGAUUUUUACUCCAGACUGUGCCACCGAAACAAAUAGCCGAAGAGCACAGAUGCCACCAGCGCCCCCCUCAGACUGCGCCCUUCAACACGGCCAUGCUGAUCUCACCGUGUAAGGUCCAUGUUAUAAAUUUAGAUGGAUGGAUGGAUGUAAAUGUAGUUUUAAUCGUAGAAUAA